UACUCUGUUCCAGGAUACCGUUGCAGUUGCUUGGUUCAUGAUGAAUGAGUUACCUUGCAUGAUAAUGCUUGCUACGCGAAUUAUUAUGUUCAAGUGCUUGUGCAAAUAAACAAAGAAUUAUACUUCUCUUCCUCUCUGCUGUUGGCCACGCCGGCCAUGGCCCUCGAAUCCGACGCCUGCAUCUACCGGACACAUCCGCUAUUCCAGUAAAGGAUUUGAUGUGCUAAAACAAUAAUGUGGAGAUAAGUCAUAUGUCUGAUGGAAAAUAUAGCUAUAGCUAUUUUUUGUUUGUUUUAUCAGUAUCAUUUUAGGCUUCAGUUAGCUGAAAAAGAUAAUACAACGAGCAAUUUUCUACCAUGUGAUUAUAGCAUUGAUGUCAUAAUGAGCGGGAUGUCUCUUGUGUACUAUGAAGAAUGCUACUUAUAUACUUGAUUUCUUCGAUUUCAGUGGUGGUGGUAUGCUUAUCAUUUCUCCUUAUCAUUUCAGGCUUCGGCAACGACGAGCAUGGCCAAGCUAGACACCAGAAGAGUAUUGCAUACUCAGCUACUCCAAUCGUUUGGGCCUUUGGGGAUGGUGGACUCGAUUGCUGAAUCAAUGGUGCCAUGUCAUGCCCCCUAUAUUACCUUUGCCCAAAUCAAAGUGCAUAUAUUUCCACGAGUUAUAGGGGGUAUGGCUGGGACGGUGAUGGAGGAGCAGUGACGAGCCAAAUGGCCAUGGCGCCGCUCGCUGGAGCACAUCAACAUCUCGUCGCUCGUCAAUAUUACUUAUCCAUGUGAUGACAUGCCCUCGCUCGCUGAUCUGGAGCUUCAACCAUCUCAUGGAGGACGCCGUCUGGUAGAUGUCCUCGCGAAGCCCGCUAUGCCACCUCCAGCACUAGGAGAUGAGGCGGCCCGCAGGUCCGGCCUCCUCAUAUCCCUCGUCACCAUCUGCGCACUCGUGGCGGCGCACAUCGCCCACCAGAAGGACUGCAGGCCCGUCGACUUUGUGCAUGGCGUCAUCCUCGUCAAACACAAUGCCCGCAACCUGCUACUGUCGCCGAGGUUUCUUCUUAUGUUUCUUGGCAGCUUGUAGCCUUUGAGGUUUUCCUAUGGAUUUGAAUAUCUCAGUCAUCGGGUGUUCAUUUGGGCUUAUUGGCUGUACUCAUUUUGGUUGGUUCCCUUUUGUUUUUGCUGCAGAGAGUGUAUGUUUCAUAGUGGUGUGAAAGGGUUGAGCAACGAAUGAGGUUUUUUUAGUCCUAGGUCGGGACUAAGAUUCUAGAAUUUUCUUUUCAUAAUACUGCAUGAUUUUAAUACUUCAAGGACAUAUGAAUAGUAUGGUUUCUCUCUCUCCCAGAUUUCUUACUACCGAGAAUGCUUUUGAUUGCAUUGUCAUUUGUUUUAUUGAGCUCUAAAUUAAAAUAAUAUUGUAUUAAACUAUUCGUUGCAUAGCAUUAGCCCACCCUUUGUUCAUACCUUGUAUAAAGGUUGGUUCUGUGCUUUUUUGUGUUCAUGCCAACAUUUUG